rnacentral:rRNA from 1 species
CCUACGGGUGGCAGCAGUGGGGAAUAUUGCACAAUGGGGGGAACCCUGAUGCAGCGACGCCGCGUGGGUGAAGGAGUAUUUCGGUAUGUAAAGCCCUAUCAGCAGGGAAGAACAAUGACGGUACCUGACUAAGAAGCACCGGCUAAAUACGUGCCAGCAGCCGCGGUAAUACGUAUGGGGCAAGCGUUAUCCGGAUUUACUGGGUGUAAAGGGAGCGUAGACGGCGGGGCAAGUCUGGAGUGAAAGGCCGGGGCCCAACCCCGGGACCGCUCUGGAAACUGCCCGGCUGGAGUGCGGGAGAGGUAAGCGGAAGUCCUAGUGUAGCGGUGAAAUGCGUAGAUAUUAGGAGGAACACCAGCGGCGAAGGCGGCUUACUGGACCGUGACUGACGUUGAGGCUCGAAAGCGUGGGGAGCAAACAGGAUUAGAUACCCUAGUAGUC